UUUUAUCUUCGAAUAAAAGAGUUGGCUAAGAAGCAUAGUUGCACUCCUGUUCAACUCGCACUUGCAUGGAUUCUUCAUUAAAGGGAUGAUAUGGUACCUAUACCUAGAACAACUAAGAUUAAAAACCUUGAUGAGAACAUUGGUGCCCUGAGAGUGAAGCUUACAGAAGAUGAUUUAAAAGAGAUUUCUGAUGCAGUGCCGAUCUUUGAUGUAGCAGGGCCUAGAAUGUUUGAAAAAGAUCAUCACACCACAUAUCAGUUUGCAGACACACCACUGCCAAAGAAUUCGAAGUGAUUAGCUUUAUAUUUUUCAAUUUUGUAUUUCAUCUUUGCAGUUUGUUGUGGCUUUGCUAUGUUGUCUUAAUAAGAUUGUAAUGUUAGUGCAGCUUUUUUGCUAAGCAUUUUCAUAAUGUGAGGUGAAUGAGAUUUGAAUACCAAGUUUUAUA